AAUAGAUUUGAGAGAAAUGCGCUGCAAAACACCAAAAGCCCUAAAUAGUAUUGCAGAACAAAUACAGUAUUUUAACAAAAAAAUACAAUCCUGGCAAGCACAGUGCAAUUGAUUAUGUUUGGUGUAUGUAGUCUGUCCUCUGUUAAGACUGAGCUCUCAUGUGCAAUAACAAAUCUUAUGCAAACAAAUGCAUAUCACCAUCUACCCACCAGCUAUUCUGCAACAUGCUUGACAUUUCUCAAAGAGGAAUAGCCUACACUUGCAUAAAAAGAGGAUAUUUAAUGUUUGGAAGGCAGCAACUUACACACAUUAUACAGUUUUGAUUUUGCAGCCAAGAGACAACUUCGCCUACUUAACAAGCCUUUAUGCAUUUCUACUGUGAUGCGAUGUGGAAUUCUUGCAGUCGUGUCCACAUCUGGUGUCGGCCUAAUCCGAUUUUUUCAUUUUCUCUCUUCUUUUUGUUCUCACAGCUGUGUACAUUUCGCAUGACACCCUGACUGAUCCCUGACAGGUGAUGAAUUGGCACCAAGCGAGCCGCAGUACUGAAUUGCGCCGCGAGCUCAUACUCUCGCAGACUCACUGGCGCCAGCCCCGUGACGUCACCCAUUCACAGCAGCCCUCGGGCCAGUCCUCACGGCGCCACUCAGGCGGCUGCUAUGGCGACGGGGGCUGUCAAUCAGCGCGAGGUCUCAGCUGAUCAAUGGAACCGAACUGUGAGAGAUCGGAGUUUGAUUCGUCACCUCGGUGCUGCGGGGCCCGCACACCUGCAUCAUUAACAUUUCUUAACUUACAUUUGAGUUGGAAAAGUCUCCCUUCGUCAGUUUGUGAAAAUAAUUUGACAAGAAAAGGACUGGCUGCCAGCAUAACAAAGCUUUAUCAAGGUGGCCUGUACUCCUGUUCUUCACACACAAAUGUGCUGGUCUAGUGCAUUCAACUAGCCAGGGAGAGACAACCUGCUCUGCUCUGAUGACAUCCGCUCAACUCUGUUACGAAAAUAUGUCUUGUGCUCACUGGGAUAUAUCCAAAGGUGAAGACCCAUGAGGCUCCUUACAGGUGCUGCCCCUCAGGUGACAAACUGUGACCAAGGUGUGUGACACAAUGUUGGAACAAGACCAUAUUUCAGCAGGUGACGUGAUGCGGUGACUGGAAACCUCAACUAAGGCUAUUUCUUAUUGUCACUCAGACUGUAACCGAAGACCAUACCAAUUAACCUCUCCGCCACUGUGUCGAGACAUGAUUUCUUUCCAACUUGUCGUGGCGCACCUCAGCAAUACUGAAGACAUUUUGAAGUGGUGAAAUCUGUAGUGCCAAGAUUGGCUUCCCAUUUUAACUGACUUGAUCGAUUUUUGUCACCGGAAAGCUGGCUUUGUGAUUGGGGAUCUCAGUUCGUUGAGGCCCCUGCGGUGGCUGGAACAAACAAGCGCAUCAUGUCCAAGGGGGACAUUGAUUGGUGCUAUUUUUGCUUUGCCACAUGACAGACGCAGCAUGUUCACAGGGGAACAUCCAUGCUCACACCUGUUUGCCUGAAUUGGAUGUGUGACACACAGCACCACUGUUGCUGUUGUCACAAAGAGGGAAGCACAGCAUGGAUGACGGUGAUUGAGGAUAUUAUGCAUUCUGGUUGGUUUAGCACUGACCAUCCACAUUUGAUGUACAAAGCGAGCUAUUGAGGAAUACUCAGUCUGAAAUAUGCAAAAUAAAUGUAGUAGUGUUUGAA